rnacentral:tRNA from 1 species
AGAAUAGUAUUUAAUGAUAUAAAAUCUAACCUGCAAUUAGAAAUAGCCUUCGCCUAUUCU